UACAUUUAUAUUUAUUCCUCCAGUAUGACAAUGAGGGGGUGUCAAGCAAACGUAUAUGGGUGAUAUUGAUCUAUUAUAUUUGUCACUUUUUGGGGGGUUGGAAAUCUAUUAUAUGCUGCUGUUCCGCACACGCACCAUAAAAACACUCAAAAAGAACAAAUGGAACAUUGCCCUUGCUUGACGUAGAAACAGGUGAACAGUUUUGGAACACUGAGCCAUUGACUAUCGACCGGGAAUCGACCGGGAUGGGCGAGAGGUAUGUCAAGUUUGGCCAGAAAAGCAUGGUUUAUCAUCUGAUUUCUUGGAGCCUGAGCAGGAGACUCUGGGCCAAUGGGAGAUCAGGGGUGAGUCUGCUGGGCUAUGGAACUCUAGAGCAGCACAUCAAAAGACCUGCCACGCUGUUGUCAGCUAUGUGAAGGAUGCAACUAUCAAGGCUUUCAAAGGCCACAUUUUUGGGGAUGACCAAAUGCAAUAAAGUUUUGUAUAAACUCAUACAUUUUGUUACAUUAUAAUACAAAUACUUUUCCAUAGAAUGUUUGUCAUUAACUUUUACUACUUCCUGUGGUAACAAACACAACACUUGGAGCUUACGAUUCAAAAUGUCUAAAGUGAAUGCUAAAUAGAUUUGUAUUAAUGCAUAUUAGACAUAACACAGGUGUUUCAACUAAAGUAUACUGUAUAUCUCAGACAAGAUUGAAGAAUGGGACAAAGUGAAAAUAAGUCAAUGCUUGUGUCCGUAGCUGUUGGUAUGAAUUGAAGUGGUUACAUACAAUACAUGUUGACAGAAUGGCUGUGAGACAGCGAGAGAGACUGUUGCUGUACUCCCAGGUAAGGCUUUUGGUUCCGGUACCACUGAAGGCCAAAGUUUUCAGUCAGGCAGCUUGAAGAUGUGUCCUCAUCCAGGCCCAUGUCACAGCAUGCAGUGUUCUGAUAGGUAGAUGACAAUAAAUGCAUUAUGUUUCUUCCAUCACUGUC